AUAUAGCUGACGAGUCCCAAAUAGGACGAAACGCGCGUCCUGGAU
rfam:Schistosoma mansoni, Puerto Rico, WGS project CABG01000000 data, contig: 0147